AGAGUUUGAUCAUGGCUCAGGAUGAACGCUGGCGGCGUGCUUAACACAUGCAAGUCGAACGGGGAAUUUUAAAUGAGGCUUCGGUGGAUUUUGAAAUUCUUAGUGGCGGACGGGUGAGUAACGCGUGGGCAACCUGCCCUGUACAGGGGGACAACAGCUGGAAACGGCUGCUAAUACCGCAUAAGCGCACAGCAUCGCAUGAUGCCGUGUGAAAAACUCCGGUGGUACAGGAUGGGCCCGCGUUGGAUUAGGUAGUUGGUGAGGUAACGGCUCACCAAGCCGACGAUCCAUAGCCGACCUGAGAGGGUGACCGGCCACAUUGGGACUGAGACACGGCCCAAACUCCUACGGGAGGCAGCAGUGGGGAAUAUUGCACAAUGGGGGAAACCCUGAUGCAGCGACGCCGCGUGAGCGAAGAAGUAUUUCGGUAUGUAAAGCUCUAUCAGCAGGGAAGAAAAUGACGGUACCUGACUAAGAAGCCCCGGCUAACUACGUGCCAGCAGCCGCGGUAAUACGUAGGGGGCAAGCGUUAUCCGGAUUUACUGGGUGUAAAGGGAGCGUAGACGGCUUUGCAAGUCUGAUGUGAAAGGCGGGGGCUCAACCCCUGGACUGCAUUGGAAACUGUGAGGCUUGAGUGCCGGAGAGGUAAGCGGAAUUCCUAGUGUAGCGGUGAAAUGCGUAGAUAUUAGGAGGAACACCAGUGGCGAAGGCGGCUUACUAGACGGUAACUGACGUUGAGGCUCGAAAGCGUGGGGAGCAAACAGGAUUAGAUACCCUGGUAGUCCACGCGGUAAACGAUGAAUACUAGGUGUUGGGUGUCACAGACAUUCGGUGCCGCAGCAAACGCAAUAAGUAUUCCACCUGGGGAGUACGUUCGCAAGAAUGAGACUCAAAGGAAUUGACGGGGACCCGCACAAGCGGUGGAGCAUGUGGUUUAAUUCGAAGCAACGCGAAGAACCUUACCAAGGUUUGACAUCCCUCUGACGUAUAUAGAGAUAUAUAUUUUCUUCGGAACAGAGGAGACAGGUGGUGCAUGGUUGUCGUCAGCUCGUGUCGUGAGAUGUUGGGUUAAGUCCCGCAACGAGCGCAACCCUUAUCAUUAGUAGCCAGCACGUAGAGGUGGGCACUCUAAUGAGACUGCCGUGGAUAACACGGAGGAAGGUGGGGAUGACGUCAAAUCAUCAUGCCCCUUAUAUCUUGGGCUACACACGUGCUACAAUGGCCGGUACAAAGAGAAGCGAGACCGCGAGGUGGAGCAAAACUCAUAAAACCGGUCCCAGUUCGGAUUGUAGUCUGCAACUCGACUACAUGAAGCUGGAAUCGCUAGUAAUCGCAGAUCAGAAUGCUGCGGUGAAUACGUUCCCGGGCCUUGUACACACCGCCCGUCACACCAUGGGAGUUGGAAGCACCCGAAGUCGAUGACCCAACCGAAAGGGAGGAGUCGCCGAAGGUGAAGCCAGUGACUGGGGUGAAGUCGUAACAAGGUA
rnacentral:rRNA from 1 species